AACUAUGGGAUGGUUGGGUUGGAAGGGACUUCAAAGGUGCUCACCUUAAAUAUCGGGGUGAUGCUCUGUGGGUGCGUGGUAGAGGAGUCAUGCAUCGAUCUGACACUGAUGAAAAGGGCCAUCACCUAUGUGGAGUAUCAGUAUAUCCACCCAUAAAUUGUUAACUGAAUAUCAAUAUAUCAACGCGCAAACUGUCAGCAACACUUGCAUGGGCAAUUACUGCAGGGCAGAGCCCACGUACCACUGCAGAGUGGAUUCCCACUCUGCCUGAACCCGGCCCCAGUGCUUGGGCUCAGCAUCCCAUUUCACCCUGUCCAGGGUCACCGUUGGCCCCAACCUCCUGCAGGAAGAAGCAGCAUCCCUGGGGGAGCAGCCCUGUGGCUCCAGCACACGGAGCUGCUUCAACACUGGGAAAGCCGCAUGCGCUCCCCUCCGGGCUGAUAUCUGAGCGUGCUUGGAGCAAGGCUGCACUGGGAGGGAUGGAUUCCAGAUGUUCGCGUGUCACGUGGGAGCGGUUGGUUUUACAAGCAAGAGAGUUCCCUGAGUAUCUGAUUUUGGCAGCGAUCUCCACUUUUGUCUAAAGAGAAACUGCACAGGAAGUUAGAAAGCACGAGACAAGCGGUAUUCUUGGGUCCUGUGCUUUUCCCAUGUUUGACAAGCUCUGGCCCUGCAUGUGGUCAUCCAGGAGCAAGUUAGAAUCAUAGAAUCAUAGAAUCACAGACUCAUAGAAUCAUAGAAUCAUUAAGGCUGGAGAAGACUUCUAAGAUCCCCAAAUCCCAGUCCCAGCCCACCCCCCCAUGUCCACUGCCCACGUCCCUCAGUGCCACAUCUCCACAGCUCUGGGACACCCCUAAGGAUGAUGACCCCCACUCCCUGGCAGCUGUGCCACUGCCUGACUGCUCUUUGGAGAAGGAAUUGUUCCUCAUAUCCAACCUGAACCCAGCUUGAGUUAGAGCCAGCUGGUGCCCAGCCCACACCAUUGCUUCCCUGGAGCCCAUCAGCUGCUGCAAGCAGUCAGCGGUGUGGACAAAACAAAGCAGCAGGAGCUUGCUUCAUAGAAAUGGGGCUUGUAGCCCUGAAGGGGCCCUCGUGAGAAAUGCACGUUAACCAAGCAAUUCUUCUCUCUGCAUUUAUGUAACGUUAGCUGUAAUAUGAGACAUUAAAAAAAAAUCAAUUAUUUGACAAAGAAAUAAACCUAGGAGAAUAAUGUUUGCUCAAUAUAUCACUUCCUUGAAUGAAAUUCACUUUGCCAGGGCCAAGGCAUUAAAAAUACAUUAAAAUAUUUCAAUAUAAAUAGAAUGAGUGGGUUUUACAUUCUUCCCAAACCGCAAAUUCGUAACUUCAUUUGCAUAGGAACUUCUGAGUUCUUUGAUCACUAUUGUAACUGAGCGUACAUAAAAGGAGUGUGCAGAAAAUAAAUGCAGAAAAGUAGAACUGUGGAAAGGAAAAAUGUCAACUGUGGAUAACAGAAACUAGAGACAGUGCAGCAAUGCACAGGUCAGGG
rnacentral:lncRNA from 1 species